UAAAAGAGCCGCCGCGCA
rnacentral:miRNA from 1 species